CGAGUAAAACAUACGGCGGCGGGGCGUUUCACGCGCUCUGAGGAAAGUCCGGGCUCCACAAGGGAAUGGUAACUGCUAACGGCAGCCGGGGGUGACCCCAGGGAUAGUGCAACAGAAAUAGACUACCCGCGUUUUGCGCGGGAAAAGGUGGAAAGGUGCGGUAAGAGCGCACCAGCGCGCUUGGUGACUUGCGCGGCUCUGUAAACCCUACCAGGAGCAACGCCCAUAUGGGAACUAUGCGUGCCCUGCGCGUUCCCGGAGGCGGCUGGAGCUGCAUGGCAACAUGCAGUCGAGAUAGAUCGUCGUUUAAUACAGAACCCGGCUUACGGUUUAGUCGUUUG
rfam:Subdoligranulum sp. 4_3_54A2FAA genomic scaffold supercont1.9, whole genome shotgun sequence.